CCAAGAUUUCUUCCUAAAUCACAUAUUUUUGUGUGUUUCACGUUAUCAAACUAAAAAAGUGAUAUUUUGAUAAAUCUAUUUUUUCCAAAUAUGCCAAAAUCACCACUGUGGCUCGCCGCUAAACUUUCUGUCGUCGCAUUAUCAGCUUCAACCCCACUGUAGCAGUUCUGCUCGUGUUGAAAACCGAAGCUCCAUUUUCUUCUGAGCAACGGUGAUUCUUUUCUUGUAGCUGGUACAGAUGUUGUAGGGACUAAGCUUAAGUUGGCCUUUGAGACUGGAAUCCAUCGCACCAUUGGAAUCGACUUGGUUGCUAUGAGUGUGAACGAUAUUGUUACCUCUGGUGCUAAGCCUCUCUUCUUCCUAGAUUACUUUGCUACUAGUCGUCUCCAUGUAGACCUUGCAGAGAAGGUUAUUAAAGGGGGCAAUCAGACUGUGCUCUCUUAGGAGGAGAAAUAUGUUUUUGCUUAUGGCAAUGUAGCUUAUGCAUGCUUCAUGCUUGGUCUUGGUUUGAUUGGUUUUUGUUUGGCUGUUUAAGACUGCGGAGAUGCCAGACUUUUACGCAGAGGGAGAGUAUGAUCUCAGUGGGUUUGCAGUUGGGACAGUGAAGAAAGAUUCUGUUAUAAAUGGGAAGAACAUAGUUGAUAUAUUGGUUGGCAUUUUGGUGGAGGAAAAUAGUAGUCAAGUGGUUUCUAUAACCGGGAUGGGCGGUCUUGGUAAAACCACUCUUGCAAGACAAGUUUUAUAAUCGUGAGAUAAUAAAAAGAAAAUUUUCAAGACUCGCGUGGAAGAAUGUCUGGAAGUCGAUCUUGCGACAACUCAGGCCAGAAUACAAGGUGACAGAAGAGGAACUUCAAGAAAAGGUCGUUGGAGUGUUGGAAACACAAAAAUAUUUGGUCGGUCAUUGAUAAUCUAUGGAGAGAAGGAGAUUGGACCGAAUCAAGAAUGUUUUUUUGCCCAAAUAAAGGAUAGAAGGUACUACUUGCUUCUCGCAAUGAGCAAGUGGCAUUACAUGCAGAUCCAAAAUGUGUUAUUUUCAAACCAGAUUGCCUAACUUUUGAAGAAAGUUGGAAUCUUUUCCAAAGGAUAUCAUUUCCUUUCAAAGACACAAUCGUAUAAGGUUGAUGAUGAGAUGGAAGAGAUGUGUAAGCAGAUGAUCAAACAUUGUGGAGGUUAUACCGUUAGCUUUAAAAGUGUUAGGAGGGUUGUUAGCUCAACAAUACACACUGCAUGAUUGGAAAAGGGUUUAUGAGAAUAGUGGAUCUCACAUAGUCGGAGUGGAUCUCACAUAGUCGGAGGGACUAGCUUCAACGACAGAAAUAUCAGUUUGGUUUAUAAUGUUUUAUAUCUAAGCUUCGAAGAGCUGCCUAUUUAUUUGAAGCAAUGUUUCUUCUACCUUGCUAUCAAAACGAUGUUGGGUAAACUGUACUCCUAUUACUGGGCUGCAGAAAGAAUACCAAGGCCGAUUUAUUACCGAUAGAGCGAGCAUCCGAGAUGUUGCAGAUGGAUAAAUUAUACCACAAUGCGAUGGAUAUUCACAGUACGACAAGGCUAGAGACACUCUCAACGGCAUUAAAUGUACUACUGAAACUACAUCUUCAUCUCUAGGCAAAUUGAUACACUUGG